UGGAAAGUGAAUUCCUCAGAACUCCACGAAC
rnacentral:piRNA from 1 species